UGCAAUGGGGUAUUCUGCACAGUGUUGC
rnacentral:piRNA from 1 species